CUUCGGGGAUGAUUAAACCGGCGCACGGGUGAGUAACACGUGAGUGACCUGCCUUUUAGACUGGAACAACUUACCGAAAGGUGAGCUAAUGCCGGAUGAGUUAUAUAAGUGCAUGUUUAUAUAGGAAAAGUUGGGGAGACCUGACGCUGAAAGAUGGACUCGCGUCCCAUUAGCUAGUUGGUAGGGUAAUGGCCUACCAAGGCGACGAUGGGUAGCCGGCCUGAGAGGGUGGCCGGCCACACUGGGACUGAGACACGGCCCAGACUCCUACGGGAGGCAGCAGUGGGGAAUUUUGCGCAAUGCUCGUAAGAGUGACGCAGCGACGCCGCGUGAAUGACGAAGGCCUUCGGGUCGUAAAGUUCUUUCGACAGGGAAGAAAAUGCCUAUAAGUAACUGUGUAUGUAUUGACGGUACCUGUAUAAGCAGCCCCGGCUAACUCCGUGCCAGCAGCCGCGGUAAUACGGAGGGGGCGAGCGUUGUUCGGAGUGACUGGGCGUAAAGAGCACGUAGGCGGUGUUGUAAGUCAUUAGUCAAAGACUAGAGCUCAACUUUAGUAAGGCUAGUGAUACUAUAAUACUAGAGUAUCAGAGAGGAUUGCAGAAUUCCUGGUGUAGCGGUGAAAUGCGUAGAUAUCAGGAGGAAUACCGUUAGCGAAGGCGGCAAUCUGGCUGGAAACUGACGCUGAGGUG
rnacentral:rRNA from 1 species